UUGUAUGGUUAAGUGAAUAAGCGCACAAGGUGGAUGCCUAGGCAAUCAGAGGCGAAGAAGGACGUGCAAAUCUGCGAAAAGCUUGGAUGAGUUGAUAAGAAGCGAAUAAUCCGAGAUAUCCGAAUGGGGAAACCCGAUAGGCGAAGAGUCUAUCAUUUCAUUAUGAACACAUAGUAAUGAAAGGCGAACCGGGAGAAGUGAAACAUCUAAGUAACCCGAGGAAAAGAAAUCAAAAGAGAUUCUGUGAGUAGCGGCGAGCGAAAGCGGAGGAGCCGGUUAGUGAUAACGGAGCUGUUAGGGGAAUGGACUGGGAAGUUCAAUCAUAGAGGGUGAUAAUCCCGUACCUUAAGGCGGCGAGGUGGUACUAAGCUAACGAGAAGUAGGGCGGGACACGAGGAAUCCUGUUUGAAGAAGGGGGGACCAUCCUCCAAGGCUAAAUACUCCUGAUUGACCGAUAGUGAACCAGUACUGUGAAGGAAAGGCGAAAAGAACCCCGGGAGGGGAGUGAAAGAGAACCUGAAACCUUGUGCGUACAAGCAGUGGGAGCCGAGAGGUGACUGCGUACCUUUUGUAUAAUGGGUCAGCGAGUUAUAUUUUGUAGCGAGGUUAACUGAAUAAGGGAGCCGAAGGGAAACCGAGUCUUAACUGGGCGUUAAGUUGCAAGGUAUAGACCCGAAACCCGGUGAUCUAGCCAUGUGCAGGUUGAAGGUUGGGUAACACUAACUGGAGGACCGAACCGACUAAUGUUGAAAAAUUAGCGGAUGACGUGUGGCUGGGGGUGAAAGGCCAAUCAAACCGGGAGAUAGCUGGUUCUCCCCGAAAUCUAUUUAGGUAGAGCCUUAUG
rnacentral:rRNA from 1 species